GAUGAACGCUGGCGGCGUGCCUAACACAUGCAAGUCGAGCGAAGAGGGGACGGGUGAGUAACACGUGGAUAACCUCCUAUAAGACUGGGAUAAACUCGGGAAACCGGAGCUUAACCGGCUACUUAUAGAUGGUUCCGCGAUGCAUUAGCUAGUUGGUAAGGUAACGGCUUACCAAGGCCACGAUGCAUAGCCGACCUGAGAGGGUGAUCAGCCACACUGGAACUGAGACACGGUCCAGACUCCUACGGGAGGCAGCAGUAGGGAAUCUUCCGCAAUGGGCGAAAGCCUGAGAGAGCAACGCCGCGUGUAUGAAGAAGGUCUUCGGAUCGUAAAGCUCUGUUAUCAGGGAAGCGGUACCUGAUCAGAAAGCCACGGCUAACUACGUGCCAGCAGCCGCGGUAAUAC
rnacentral:rRNA from 1 species